rnacentral:lncRNA from 1 species
UUUAGAUUGUUCUGAUUAUAAAAUUGUGUAAACAUUCUCUACAGAGAAAAGAGGCAGAACAUUAUAGAAAAUGGAAAUGAAGUGACUAAAGACAGCCCUUGGUGUAAGUGCCCACUGAGAACACUGGAAGAAACUGACUUCAGAGUCCACCCGGUACAAAUGGCUGCUGAGAGUCCCUGGUAUAAGUAACCAAGGCAGUGCCUGGUCCAAGAUGCCACCUAAAACACUGUGAGACUUAGAGAGGAGAAGCAGAUUCUUUCAGAGCACACGGCAAGUUACUUGGCAGUUCCAGACAGAAAAUGAAAGUAAUGAAGACUUUGGGUAAGAAUUUUACAGCGGCAUUUUCAAAGCUUUGCAAGGGGCUUUGUGCAUUUAAGAGAAUUUGCUAUUUAGAGGUCCAGAGAUCUGGCUUCUGGAGUUUGGUUAUGAAGAAGGAAGAGGCAAGUUUGAAGAAAAGGCACUGAUAUUUCUCAGUACAAUGUGAAGUCCUGAAAUCAUUAUGAAAUAGAAUUCUUUGCAAUUUAUAAAGCAGUUAGGAAAAUCCUCUUGUUUGUACUUAAGAGUUCACAUGUACACAUGCUCAUGUAUAUAAGUGUGCACAGGCACAUGUGUUAGCAUUUGUUUCUGCAUUUAUGCAUACAUGCUUGCAAAUCCCCCUUUUGGAGCACUCACCAAAAGGAACAGAAUGGAUCAUCCAUAUUGGCCCAGGACUGGACCAGACUAUAUAAAUUCAAG